rnacentral:tRNA from 1 species
GCGUCGGUGGUGUAAGGCGUAGCAUCGCUGCCAGGUGCAGGAGGUGUGGGUUCGAGUCCCGCCUGCCGCA